UAGAGUUUGGAUCAUGGCUCAGAUUGAACGCUGGCGGCAGGCCUAACACAUGCAAGUCGAGCGGUAACAUGCCUUCGGGUGAUGACGAGCGGCGGACGGGUGAGUAAUGCUUGGGGAUCUGCCCGAUGGCGGGGGACAACCACUGGAAACGGUGGCUAAUACCGCAUAAUGUCUACGGACCAAAGUGUGGGACCUUCGGGCCACACGCCAUCGGAUGAACCCAAGUGAGAUUAGCUAGUUGGUGGGGUAAAGGCUCACCAAGGCGACGAUCUCUAGCUGGUUUGAGAGGAUGAUCAGCCACACUGGGACUGAGACACGGCCCAGACUCCUACGGGAGGCAGCAGUGGGGAAUAUUGGACAAUGGGGGCAACCCUGAUCCAGCCAUGCCGCGUGUGUGAAGAAGGCCUUCGGGUUGUAAAGCACUUUCAGCGAGGAGGAAGGGUGUUGUUUUAAUAGAGCAUCAUCUGACGUACUCGCAGAAGAGACCG
rnacentral:rRNA from 1 species